rnacentral:rRNA from 1 species
GGGUUGUGAGGUUAAGCGACUAAGCGUACACGGUGGAUGCCCUGGCAGUCAGAGGCGAUGAAGGACGUGCUAAUCUGCGAUAAGCGUCGGUAAGGUGAUAUGAACCGUUAUAACCGGCGAUUUCCGAAUGGGGAAACCCAGUGUGUUUCGACACACUAUCAUUAACUGAAUCCAUAGGUUAAUGAGGCGAACCGGGGGAACUGAAACAUCUAAGUACCCCGAGGAAAAGAAAUCAACCGAGAUUCCCCCAGUAGCGGCGAGCGAACGGGGAGCAGCCCAGAGCCUGAAUCAGUAUGUGUGUUAGUGGAAGCGUCUGGAAAGGCGCGCGAUACAGGGUGACAGCCCCGUACACAAAAAUGCACAUAUUGUGAGCUCGAUGAGUAGGGCGGGACACGUGGUAUCCUGUCUGAAUAUGGGGGGACCAUCCUCCAAGGCUAAAUACUCCUGACUGACCGAUAGUGAACCAGUACCGUGAGGGAAAGGCGAAAAGAACCCCGGCGAGGGGAGUGAAAAAGAACCUGAAACCGUGUACGUACAAGCAGUGGGAGCACGCUUAGGCGUGUGACUGCGUACCUUUUGUAUAAUGGGUCAGCGACUUAUAUUCUGUAGCAAGGUUAACCGAAUAGGGGAGCCGAAGGGAAACCGAGUCUUAACUGGGCGUUAAGUUGCAGGGUAUAGACCCGAAACCCGGUGAUCUAGCCAUGGGCAGGUUGAAGGUUGGGUAACACUAACUGGAGGACCGAACCGACUAAUGUUGAAAAAUUAGCGGAUGACUUGUGGCUGGGGGUGAAAGGCCAAUCAAACCGGGAGAUAGCUGGUUCUCCCCGAAAGCUAUUUAGGUAGCGCCUCGUGAAUUCAUCUCCGGGGGUAGAGCACUGUUUCGGCAAGGGGGUCAUCCCGACUUACCAACCCGAUGCAAACUGCGAAUACCGGAGAAUGUUAUCACGGGAGACACACGGCGGGUGCUAACGUCCGUCGUGAAGAGGGAAACAACCCAGACCGCCAGCUAAGGUCCCAAAGUCAUGGUUAAGUGGGAAACGAUGUGGGAAGGCCCAGACAGCCAGGAUGUUGGCUUAGAAGCAGCCAUCAUUUAAAGAAAGCGUAAUAGCUCACUGGUCGAGUCGGCCUGCGCGGAAGAUGUAACGGGGCUAAACCAUGCACCGAAGCUGCGGCAGCGACGCUUAUGCGUUGUUGGGUAGGGGAGCGUUCUGUAAGCCUGUGAAGGUGUGCUGUGAGGCAUGCUGGAGGUAUCAGAAGUGCGAAUGCUGACAUAAGUAACGAUAAAGCGGGUGAAAAGCCCGCUCGCCGGAAGACCAAGGGUUCCUGUCCAACGUUAAUCGGGGCAGGGUGAGUCGACCCCUAAGGCGAGGCCGAAAGGCGUAGUCGAUGGGAAACAGGUUAAUAUUCCUGUACUUGGUGUUACUGCGAAGGGGGGACGGAGAAGGCUAUGUUGGCCGGGCGACGGUUGUCCCGGUUUAAGCGUGUAGGCUGGUUUUCCAGGCAAAUCCGGAAAAUCAAGGCUGAGGCGUGAUGACGAGGCACUACGGUGCUGAAGCAACAAAUGCCCUGCUUCCAGGAAAAGCCUCUAAGCAUCAGGUAACAUCAAAUCGUACCCCAAACCGACACAGGUGGUCAGGUAGAGAAUACCAAGGCGCUUGAGAGAACUCGGGUGAAGGAACUAGGCAAAAUGGUGCCGUAACUUCGGGAGAAGGCACGCUGAUAUGUAGGUGAAGUCCCUCGCGGAUGGAGCUGAAAUCAGUCGAAGAUACCAGCUGGCUGCAACUGUUUAUUAAAAACACAGCACUGUGCAAACACGAAAGUGGACGUAUACGGUGUGACGCCUGCCCGGUGCCGGAAGGUUAAUUGAUGGGGUUAGCCGCAAGGCGAAGCUCUUGAUCGAAGCCCCGGUAAACGGCGGCCGUAACUAUAACGGUCCUAAGGUAGCGAAAUUCCUUGUCGGGUAAGUUCCGACCUGCACGAAUGGCGUAAUGAUGGCCAGGCUGUCUCCACCCGAGACUCAGUGAAAUUGAACUCGCUGUGAAGAUGCAGUGUACCCGCGGCAAGACGGAAAGACCCCGUGAACCUUUACUAUAGCUUGACACUGAACAUUGAGCCUUGAUGUGUAGGAUAGGUGGGAGGCUUAGAAGUGUGGACGCCAGUCUGCAUGGAGCCGACCUUGAAAUACCACCCUUUAAUGUUUGAUGUUCUAACGUUGACCCGUAAUCCGGGUUGCGGACAGUGUCUGGUGGGUAGUUUGACUGGGGCGGUCUCCUCCUAAAGAGUAACGGAGGAGCACGAAGGUUGGCUAAUCCUGGUCGGACAUCAGGAGGUUAGUGCAAUGGCAUAAGCCAGCUUGACUGCGAGCGUGACGGCGCGAGCAGGUGCGAAAGCAGGUCAUAGUGAUCCGGUGGUUCUGAAUGGAAGGGCCAUCGCUCAACGGAUAAAAGGUACUCCGGGGAUAACAGGCUGAUACCGCCCAAGAGUUCAUAUCGACGGCGGUGUUUGGCACCUCGAUGUCGGCUCAUCACAUCCUGGGGCUGAAGUAGGUCCCAAGGGUAUGGCUGUUCGCCAUUUAAAGUGGUACGCGAGCUGGGUUUAGAACGUCGUGAGACAGUUCGGUCCCUAUCUGCCGUGGGCGCUGGAGAACUGAGGGGGGCUGCUCCUAGUACGAGAGGACCGGAGUGGACGCAUCACUGGUGUUCGGGUUGUCAUGCCAAUGGCACUGCCCGGUAGCUAAAUGCGGAAGAGAUAAGUGCUGAAAGCAUCUAAGCACGAAACUUGCCCCGAGAUGAGUUCUCCCUGAC